rnacentral:rRNA from 1 species
UGGGGAAUAUUGGACAAUGGGGGAAACCCUGAUCCAGCAAUGCCGCGUGAGUGAAGAAGGCCUUAGGGUUGUAAAGCUCUUUCGCCCGCGAAGAUAAUGACGGUAGCGGGAGAAGAAGCCCCGGCUAACUCCGUGCCAGCAGCCGCGGUAAUACGGUGGGGGCUUGCGUUGUUCGGAAUUACUGGGCGUAAAGCGUACGUAGGCGGAUGCGCAAGUUGGGGGUGAAAUCCCGGGGCUUAACCUCGGAAUUGCCCUCAAAACUGCACGUCUUGAGACCGAGAGAGGUAAGGGGAAUUCCUAGUGUAGAGGUGAAAUUCGUAGAUAUUAGGAAGAACACCAGUGGCGAAGGCGCCUUACUGGCUCGGUACUGACGCUGAGGUACGAAAGCGUGGGGAGCAAACA